rnacentral:lncRNA from 1 species
CACACAAAAAAAAAUGGAACUCUAAACCUCUCAUCCUCUCAAAACUCCUCUCCCCCACAUCCGGCCUAUAGGGCCACUGGCUGACGACUGCGGUGACCGCCGUAUACAGCGGUGGAGCGCGACCCUCAGGUGCAUCCUUUUUUUUAUAUGCCUCUUUUUGCUUAAAUAGAUUUUAAAAAAAAGAAAAGAAAUGAAUAAACAUAAAAAAAAAAGAUAAAUAGAACGAAAGAAAAAAAAAAGAAAAAAGAACGUAGCAAAACCUUUUGAAACUUCAGUUUUUAUUUCUAUUCUGAUUUGCUAAUGUGCGUAACCAUUACAAAAGGAUUUCUUUCGGUUUUUAUAGCCGAGUUACAAACUAUUUACUUUUCUAUUUUUGUCCUUUUCUAUUUGUUUCUACUUCUUGUCGUUUCUUUUUUUUGUUUUUACUGCUUGCGUGUGAUUCUUUCUUUGCAGGUGACAGAAGCAUGCGAUGGCAAGUGACAAACGAGCCGAGCGGUAGUGGCAGAGGCGAGGGUGGCGCGCGUUGGGUGAGCGGCGGCUAAAGAGGGUAGGCUGAGGGCUAAGGUUUCUUUGUUUUGUUAAUGUGUUGGGUUAAUUUUGUGGGCUAGGGUUAAUUUGGGUUUAGGUUAUGUGGGCCUUGACAAUUUGGACUGGUGUGAGUUUUAAUUUGUAAAUGAACUUUAAAAACAUUUGGAUUUUUGGUUUUUAUUUUAUAAUUUGGCCAGGCCAAAAUUAACCCAUUACAAAGAU